GCUGGGCGUGGUGGCGUGCGCCUGUAGUCCCAGGUACUCGGGAGGCUGAGGCAGGGGAAUUGCUUGAACCCAGGAGGCGGAGGUUGCAGUGAGCUGAGAUUGUGCCACUGCACUCUAGCCUGGGUAACAGAGCAAGACUGUCUCAA
rnacentral:SRP_RNA from 1 species